rnacentral:pre_miRNA from 1 species
UUAGCUCAUAUUUGUAUGGAAUUGGAUCGUUUGCGUACGUUUGCCGCUAGGGGCGCUGUUCCAACUGCAUACAAAAUUGGGUUU